CAGGCAGAGGAGGCGCUGAGAGCGAGCAAGGGCUCUGAGGACUGUCAGCACGCUGUCACCUCUCACUAUUGUGAGACUUCACGUUGUGAUGGUCAAUCUAUCUAACAGCCUGUGGAUGAGGUCAAAGGAAAGAGGGAAGAAAGGAGAAAGGGGAGAAGGAAAGAACUUGAGGCUUUGAUGACCGUUGGAAUGCAGAGAAGCUAUGAGAAAAGAGCUACAAGAGAAAAAUGGCAGCAUUGCAAAGUGCAAGAACACUGAAGGGAUUAAACAGCAUUCUAGAAAACAAGACAGACCAUGAAGAGUAUGGGAAGAAACAGGAAGGCCUAUUUCCCGGUACCAUACCCAGAAGCUGUAUAAUAGGUGAUAUACAUUUGAGACCCAGGAGACUCAGCAUAUGGUGAAGGUUCACAGAGACACGUGCAGAUGGAGAAUACCACUGCUAAACUGGCAACACUUGGUUAAACACCAGAAUGGAUUACAUACAAUCAAUGCGAGGAACCUGGAAAUCAAGGCUGGAAAGAAGCCUUAA